GACGCUUAGCACUCCCCUUGACAAGGAUGGAAGAGGCCCUCGGGCCUAACAACACCCACAUGAUUAAGGCUGCGCCAGCCACAUCAGAGGCAGAAGCAGAGAGGCAG
rfam:Mus musculus chromosome 12, GRC primary reference assembly.